AAAGAAAAGCCCACUCUCAAUUUAGAAACAAAAAACCCUAGAAGAGCCCAAUUCCGUCCUUUCUUAGUCUCUCUUGUUUCUCUGUAACCAUAAGGCUUAAAAUAAAGAGAGAAUUGAGAAGAGACUGUUUGGUAUUAUUUAUAAUCAAUGGAUUCAGACGAGGGAAAGCUAUUUAUAGGAGGAAUAGCAUGGGACACAACAGAAGAUACUUUAAGAGAACACUUCAAUCAGUACGGAGAUGUUUCUCAAGCUGUGAUAAUGCGUGACAAGACUACUGGUCGUCCUCGUGGUUUUGGUUUUGUUGUUUUCUCCGAUCCUUCUAUUCUCGAUCGCGUUCUUCAAGAUCAACAUACUAUUGCCGGCCGUACUGUAGAAGCUAAAAGGGCUUUAUCAAGAGAAGAACAACAGGCCUCCUCUAGAUCUGGUAAUACUAAUGCUGGUAGAAGCUCUGGUGGAGGUGGGAAUUUUAAGACUAAGAAAAUAUUUGUCGGUGGUUUGCCAUCCACCUUGGCAGAGGAUGGAUUUCGUGAAUAUUUUGAAAAUUAUGGACAUGUAACUGAUGUGGUAAUAAUGUUUGACCAGCAAACUCAGAGGCCUCGUGGCUUUGGAUUCAUCACAUUUGAUGCUGAAGAUGCAGUUGAUAGAGUACUCCACAAGGUUUUCCACGAGCUGAAUGGUAAACUUGUAGAGGUGAAACGAGCACUCCCAAAAGAUGCAAAUCCAGGUGGUGGGGGCCGUGGUGGAGGCUAUCAAGGUUAUGGUGCCUCUGGUGGCAAUUUAAGUGCUGUUGAUGGCAGAAUGGAUGGAAACCGAUAUAUGCAGACUCAAACUUCUGCCGGCGGAUAUCCACCUUAUUCUGGUUAUGGUGCACCGACUUAUGGUUAUGGGGCAGCAAAUACUGGAGCAGGUUACGGUGGUUACAGUGGUUAUGGUCUUGGUGGUUAUGGUGCUGGUCCAACAGGGGCGUAUGGAAUGCCUGGUGCCUUGAAAAAUAAUUGGGGCAGCCAAGUUCCUUCCGGUUAUGGUGCUUCGGGGUAUGGUGCAAAUGCUAAUUAUGGGGCUCCAGCUCCAUGGAAUGCAUCUGGUGGUGGCAAUUCUCCUUCAGCUCCUAUGGGUCAAUCUCCUGGUGGAGCCUCAGGCUAUGGGGGCUAUGGUUAUAGCAAUUACGGUGGAAGCGAUGGUUCUUAUCCUGGUGGAUAUGGAGCUGCUGGAGGGCGUGCCGGAAAUGGCCCAAGUAAUGGUGGCGGCACAGGAACUGGAGGAGGAGAGCAACAGGGAAGCGGGGGUGGUUACGGUGGUGGCUAUGGUGAUGCUAAUGGCAAUUCAGGAUAUGGAAAUGAAGCCUGGAGGUCUGAUCCAUCACAAGCAUCUGGUGGUUAUGGUGGUACUCAAUCACGGCAAGCACCGCAACCGUGAUUGGUGAUGCCUUCAGUUUUGCAGGAAUUUAUAAUCAGGAAUCCAUUCAUCUUUCAAUGGUGGGACUUCGGAGAGCAAAUGCUAUGAUGAUACAGCAGAUCCUGGGAAUGGAGAGAGUGAUCAACUCUACUGUGCAAGUGAAUAUAUGGUAAUUGGGGGUUUUUGGCGUGGACUGGAGUGUAAAGAGGGCUCGCUUGAUGAUGCUUUGUUCACUUGAUGUUUCAUGCAGAUUAUGGAGUGGGGCUGGUGUCAUCCCAUUCUCAAUAUGUGAUCAAUCUCUUGAUUCGAUGGUACCUACCAAGUGCAUCAUCUGGCAGGAAAGGUGUACAUCAGCAUAUUUUUGUUUUUCUUAUGGCUUCCUACUCAGGCCACUCUAUUGUUUCCUUCUGUAUCAUUGAUAAGUUGCUUUGGUUAUUAUUUUGUAAAUUUCAUGUCUAUUCUUGGUAUUUUAUUGGUGAAGUUGAUGAUUUAAUUUCACGACUUGUUUAGACUCUGAUAUAUAAGUCACCACGAUCAAAAGUGUUAGCAUUUUAUCAUGA